ACACACACACACAGAGAGAGAGAGAGAGAGAGACUGGUGAACAUCAUUUACAGCACUGAUGAGCGGCUCUGGCCUGUUUAUUAUUUUUAUUGUUUUAUUAAUUAUGUUCAGCUUUUCUCUAGUUAAUAUUAGGUUGAGUUUGACUUUCUGAGCGUCAUUUCCUGACAUGGAUUGCUCAUUAUUUAUCAGAGAUGAUCUUCAUGUAGUCGAGCUGUAGGUGUCUGCUGGUUUCUGACUUCCUGUUCAUCAGUGUGUCUCUGUUCAGUCGUCUUCAGGCGCUCAGGUCUCAACCAACUCCUCGUCCUUUACCCUUCUGACACAAACCAGACGAGAAGAGAAGAGAAGAGAAGAGAGAGAAGAGAAGAGAAGAGAAGAGAAGAGAAGAGAGAGAGCGAAGGAUUAAUAAUAAUAAAACUAAUACCAGCAGAUUGAGAGGAGAAAGAGAUGUCCAGACGAGUGUUUGUGUUCUUCUGUCUGCUGACGGCUGUGAGAUCAGAAGAUGGUUCAGAGACAACAGAAACAACAGAAAUCACGAUUGACAAGACAAACAUGAAUCUGACAUGUGCUGGUGGUACAUUUUAUGAGGAUCAAAGUACAAUAAAGAUGGAUUAUGGAUCGUCUGGACUCUACACAUGUACAUCAGCUAAGUGUAGUUUCGAAAGCAACUGUCCCACUGCCCGAGUGAAGAUCCUGAAUGCUGAGAAUCUGGUGCAGCUGGACAUGGGGGCUCUGGUCUCGGUUCUGGUGGCUAAUAUCGUAAUGACGGUUCUGAUCGGAUGGGUGUUUUACAGCAUCUGCGCUCAGCCCAGACCCAGAGGCAGUUAUCAGGGGAAUAAAGGUGUGUGAUGUUCUCGAUCAGGUCAAGAUCAGCGGUGACUCAGGAGUCAGUCGUUCAUCUGUGUUUGUGUCUUCAGCCUCAAGACAGAAUCAAUCUGAUCGAGAAUCCCAGCCGCUCGGCAGGAGACACGUACCAGCGUCUUGAACAUGCGUUCGGAUGAGUACAAGCGCUCUACAGCCGCAGCGCAGACAGAAGAACAAGCAGUCCGUCUAACCAGCGCUUCAUCUUCAUUCCUCCGUCACUUCUUCUGAUUCAUGAUCCUGGAAAUGUAGACGUUCUUCACUUGAUGCUUUAGAUACAUGAAUCUGUCUUUACUAUUAGCUGUGCUGUGCUCAUUAAGACUCUUUAUAAUAAAUUCUUUAAAGAA